UACAGAGGGCGCGAGCGUUAAUCGGAAUUACUGGGCGUAAAGCGUGCGCAGGCGGUUUUGUAAGACAGAGGUGAAAUCCCCGGGCUCAACCUGGGAACUGCCUUUGUGACUGCAAGGCUGGAGUACGGCAGAGGGGGAUGGAAUUCCGCGUGUAGCAGUGAAAUGCGUAGAUAUGCGGAGGAACACCGAUGGCGAAGGCAAUCCCCUAGGCCUGUACUGACGCUCAUGCACGAAAGCGUGGGGAGCAAACAGG
rnacentral:misc_RNA from 1 species